UACGUAGGGGGCAAGCGUUGUCCGGAAUCAUUGGGCGUAAAGCGCGUGUAGGCGGCCUUGUAAGUCCGUUCUGAAAGUCCGGGGCUCAACCCCGGGAGGCGGAUGGAUACUGCAAGGCUCGAGUACGGAAGAGGCGAGUGGAAUUCCCGGUGUAGCGGUGAAAUGCGCAGAGUAUCGGGAGGAACACCAAUGGCGAAGGCGAGUCCCUGGACAACUCCUGACGCUGAGGCACGAAAGCGUGGGGAGCAAACAGG
rnacentral:rRNA from 1 species